CAUGGGCCAGAAUCCCUGUGGAACGCUUUCAACACCUUUGUAGAAUUGAGGCUGUUCUGAGGGCGAAAGGGGGUGCAACUCAAUAUUAGAAAGGUGUUCCUAAUAUUUUGAACACUCAGUGUUUAUAACUUUGUUCUCACCUGUAGUCAACAUACUCUCCCUCAAUAGCAGAAGGAACACAUUCACUUCCUGUAGUUCAUGUGACUCUGUGUUUAAUGAUUUCUACCAUUCCAUCUGCUCACUCAUGCUCUCCCCUCACUGGUAAAUCUGCCCUGUCAUGUUAAGCUUCAGGAUAAGGGAACUGAGUCAACACUCACUUCCCAUUUGAUUUAGCUGACAAGCAUUGGGAAAGAAGGAUAGGGAGUCAAAUAUAAAGGCAGGGACACAGCUCAAAGAGGACACAGCAACUCUAAACUUGUUUGAGAAGGAGGCAGCUUUUGUUUACCAGCUGUAUAACAAGAUAUCAACAAGGAAAUACCCCCAGACAUGCAGACAGUCAACUCGGGACAGAAAGUUGAUAUGCAGAAUCCUGGCAGGGAUUUGUCAGAACAGAUAAAAGCAGCGACUAAAGAGAUCCAUGUCAGGGCAGAAAACACCCAACUGAUGCUGAGCUAUCAGAAGGGACAGAUAACUCUUCUGCAGUACAAGCUUCUUCUGUGUUCCCUCUACGAGAUCUACAAAGCACUGGAAGAGGAGAUGGACAGGAAUGCUUCCCACCCAGGUGUCGCACCAAUAUACUUCCCCCAGGAACUGGCCCGACUGGAGAAACUAGAGAGAGAUCUGGAACACUUCUUUGGACAGGAGUGGCAAAAGAGAGUCAUCAUUCCUGCUGCAACACACAGAUAUACACAGAGACUUCGCAAGAUUGGUGAAGGCAAUCCUAAAUUGCUGGUGGCCCACGCCUAUACCCGUUACCUAGGUGACCUGUCAGGAGGACAAGUUUUAGGGAAGAUUACCCAGAAGUCAAUUGGGUUAAGCAGCAGAGAGGGAUUGUCGUUUUUCUCCUUCCCUGGAGUGUCAAGCCCUAACCGCUUCAAGCAGCUGUACAGGAGCAGAAUGAACAGCAUUGAGCUGACCAAAGAGGAGAGGGAGGGGGUGCUGGAGGAGGCUAUAAUGACCUUCGACCUCAACAUCCAGUUCUACAGCUGUACAAUUGAGAGCAUCUUGACUGGCUGCAUCACUGCUUGGUAUGGCAACUGCACUGCCCUUGAUCACAUGGCGCUACAGAAGUUGGUGCGGACAGCCCAGUACGUCACUGAGGCCGAGUUCCCUGCUAUUCAGGACCUCUAUAUCAGGCGGUGUCAAAGGAGGGCCUGGAAAAUCGUUGAAGACUCCAGCCUCCCAAGUCAUAUACAGUUCUCUCUGCUUCUGCACUGCAAGUGGUACCGGUGCAUCAAGUCUGCCAUCAACAGGCUCCUGAACAGGUUCUAUCCCCAAGCCAUAAGACUGCUAAAUAGCUAACUAAAUAGCUACACAGAGUUGACCCUUGUAUUUUAUUUUUGCACUAUCUGUAUGCACACUCCAACAGACACAAACACUCACUCCAUAAUUUGCUCACACACAAAUAAUAUGCACAUACAUUUAUACUGACUCUACACAGACACACUCACAUACUAUCAUCAUACACACUGCCGCUACUCUGUUUAUCAUAUAUCCCUAUGCCUAUCUACCGAUAUCACUCCAGUAUCCAUGCACAUUUUAAAUAUGGUUCUGGAACUGACUGUCCCUGUAUAUAGUAUGCUUUCUCAUGUUUUUGUUCUACUUUAUUUUUAGUAUUACAUUUUUAUUUUAUUACUGCACUGUUGGGUUUAGAGCUUACAAGAAAGGCAUUUUUUCACUGUACUUGUGCACGUGACAUUAAAACUAGCUAAACAUGACUGUGAAGAGGAAGUGAAACUGGGAAGGUCUAGUGAACGAUGCAGUGUAAACACGUUACUGGGUGCCAUCGCAUAUUGCUGAUGAUUGUGUACGUCUUGUUCAAUGAAGACAUCCAGGGUCAUUUCUCGUACAGGUCUUUGAUGAUCUACAGAAAAUGUUAAGUGUCACAAAGGAAGCUUACGGUAGAACUCCAUGCUUCCUGCCUGUCUGUAUGAAAGCAUCCACAGCGUGGUCAAUGUCCUGGUCAGUGUGGGCCGCUGAGAUCUGAACCCGGAUUCUGGCUUUGCCCUUUGGUACCACUGGGUAGGAGAACCCAAUCACAUACACUCCUGUGGGAGACAGAAUAAUGGGUACUUGUUGUAGAUAGACAUAACACUGAAUACUACAGUUCCUCAAGAAAGGGCAGAUUGGAGACCUGAUUCAAAUUAAUAUUUUUUUCCAGCCCUUGUAUUCAAGCAGUGUAGUUUGCAGCUAAUAACCUAUUAGGUCUCUGAUUGUUGUCAGCUCCCAUUUUGUGAGACAAAAUUGUUGAAUACAAAAUAUCAUGAGUAUCUCUGUCUCCCUCUACAGGUUGAUGUGUCCACUCAUUUGUAAUCCCACAGAAAUCGUUUUGAUCAAGGUUUUCAAAAAUAGUUCAGUUCUAUAAAAUGAGUGGACAAAAAAAAUCCUUAGACUAUUUCAAACCAAUAUACAGACUGUGUUGUAAUUCUUGAUAAUGCUUGAAAUGUGCUUGUGCUCCAUUCAUAUUCAGCCUGAACAGUUGCCUCACCUAGUUUCAGCAUGUCAUCAGCCAUCAGAGAGGCUAGUCUGGCAUCCUCCAGCAUCACAGGACAGAUGGGGUGGUCAGAGCCUGAAAUGGUGAACUCAGCCUCGGUCAUUUUGUUUCUGAAGCUACGAGAGGGGGAGUGAAUAAAGACAUUACAGAAAUAGCCAUCGUUCCUUAUACAGUAUCAAUGCCUUCAACUGUCAUGGUUGCCAACUGGGUUCUCUGGGAAACAUGUAGUGCUCUUGAAACUGUAAACAUGUGUGGAAGGACACCAGUGGAGGCUGCUAAGCAGAGGACAGCUCAUAAUAAUGUCUGGAACGGAGCAGUAGUCUAACCUACUGUUCACUAAUACCGCUCCAGCCAUUACCACAAGCCCAUCCUCCCCAAUUAAGGUGCCACCAUCCUCCUAUGAAGGACACAGUACAGAUAGGAGAUGAAACAAGCAAAAGUGUUUCAUGCAGAAUAAACACAAAUCUUGUCACUUUUUCAGCACAUGGGAUUCGUCAAUCUCAAGGUCAUUGUUUCUGUCCAAAAAUUAUGCAGAAAAAUUCAUCCAUGCUUUUGUCACUUCUAGGUUAAACUACUGCAAUGCUCUACUAGAAUCUUGAAAAUAACCCAUUUUUAAAAUCAUAUUACUCCAGUGCUAGCCUCUCUAGACUGGCUUCCUGUUAAGCCAAGGGCUGAUUUCAAGGUUUUACUGCUAACCUACAAAGCAUUACACAGGCUUACUCCUACCUAUCUUUCCGAUUUGGUCCUGCCAUACAUACCUACACGUACGCUACGGUCACAAGACGUAGGCCUCCUUACUGUCCCUAGAAUUUCUAAGCAAAUAGCUGGAGGCAAGGCUUUUUCCUAUAGCGCUCCAUUUUUAUGGAAUGGUCUGCCUACCCAUGUGAGAGACACACAGUCGGUCUCAACCUUUAUAUCUUUAUUGAAGACUCAUCUCUUCAGUAGGUCCUAUGAUUGAGUGUAGUCUGACCCAGGAGUGUGAAGGUGAACAGAAAGUCACUGGAGCAACAAACCGCCCUUGCUGUCUCUGCCUGGCCGGUUCCCCUCUCUCCACUGGGAUUCUCUGCCUCUAACCCUAUUACAGGGGCUGAGUCACUGGCUUACUGGUACUCUUCCAUGCCGUCCCUAGGAGGGGUAUGUCAUUUGAGUGGGUUGAGUCACUGACGUGAUCUGCCUGUCCAGGCUGCCCCCCCCCUCCGCCAUGGCGGAGAUCCUUGUGGGCUAUACUCAGCCUUGUCUCAGGAUAGUAAGUUGGUAGUUGAAGAUAUCCCUCUAGUGUUGUGGGGGCUGUGCUUUGGAAAAGUGGGUGGGGUUAUAUCCUGCCUGUUUGGCCCUGUCCGGGGGUAUCGUCAGAUGGGGCCAGUGUCUCCCGACCCCUCCAAUCUCAACCUCCAGUAUUUAUGCAGCAGAAAUGUGUAUGUCGGGGGGCAUGGGUCAGUCUGUUAUAUCUGGAGUAUUUCUCCUGUCUUAUCCGGUGUCCUAUGUGAAUUUAAGUAUGCUCUCUCUAAUUCUCUCUCAGAGGACCUAAGCCCUAGGACCAUGCCUCAGGACUACCUGGCAUGAUGACUCCUUGUUGUCCCGAGUCCACCUUGCUGUUCUGCUGCUCCAGUUUCAACUAUUCUGCCUGCAGCUUUGGAACUCUGACCUGUUCACCGGACAUACUAUCUGUCCCAGUGAUAGAGGAAAUUAGAGUUGAAAUGAUUAAUUAUGUAUACAUUAUUGAUUAGAACCAUUUAUUCUAAUACUAUUAUGUUAUAUGAAAAGUAUGAGUUUUUGGUUAAGAUGUUACUGAAAAUGUAAGCAGAACGAAUUAAUUGUCUGUGCCUCUUGGGAAGUUUAAGGGGUAGAGAUGCUAUAGCUUUUCAGACAGAUAAGAAAUGUUUGGGUGGUGUUCCAUUAGUGGAGAAAAUUAUAUCUUUUAGACAGUUUGGAAUGUAGUUAUAUGGGGGGAGUAGAGGGAGAGUCCAGACCUAAAAACAAUGGGCUCUUGUGAGAAUCGGAGAGAGGGUGGGAAACUGAUGAUGUCAUUUGCAGUUUAUAACCUGUGGAAAUAUGUGUAUGUGGUUAGUACUCAUCAAGAAUAAAUGCUGAACUUGUUUUUAA